AGCAGUCGCCGCGGGAAUACGUAGGGUGCAAGCGUUAAUCGGAAUUACUGGGCGUAAAGCGUGCGCAGGCGGUUAUAUAAGACAGAUGUGAAAUCCCCGGGCUCAACCUGGGAACUGCAUUUGUGACUGUAUAGCUAGAGUACGGCAGAGGGGGAUGGAAUUCCGCGUGUAGCAGUGAAAUGCGUAGAUAUGCGGAGGAACACCGAUGGCGAAGGCAAUCCCCUGGGCCUGUACUGACGCUCAUGCACGAAAGCGUGGGGAGCAAACAGGAUUAGAUACCCCCGUAGUCCCUGUCUCUUAUAA
rnacentral:rRNA from 1 species